CGCGUAGGCGGCUCGGAAAGUCGGGUGUGAAAAUCCGGGGCUCAACCCCGGACUUGCAUCCGAUACUCCCGGGCUGGAGGCAGACAGGGGAGAGCGGAAUUCCUGGUGUAGCGGUGAAAUGCGCAGAUAUCAGGAGGAACACCGGUGGCGAAGGCGGCUCUCUGGGUCUGUCCUGACGCUCAGGCGCGAAAGCUAGGGGAGCAAACA
rnacentral:rRNA from 1 species